UUAAAUUUGAGUCGGAUAUUUCUCCCUCAAUCUAGAUAGUAUUAGCUUCAUUAGUAUUAAGCAUGGGAUUUGAUACUAGUGUGAUCAAAUUGAUAGACUCCACGUAUCCUCCAAUAUGAGGGGAUCAUACAUGGGAUACGUCUAGAUAGAUAUCAGCAUUCGUGGCAUCCGCUAGCCACACCAAACUCGACAGUUUACAUGCAUCCUUCCAUAGGCAGAGAUCUCAUGUCGGACACUUGUCUCUCCCCGAGUGAAUAUGGAAUGACAUCAGUAUUAGUGGUAUUAACACUGCAGCAUUCACGUCUUCUUCUCCGGCAUUGUCGGAGGGUGACCACCGGCACGUCCAUGCUAGGCAACCCUCCGUCUGUCCAUUCUGGUCUAGGGGCCAUAUGGAUCUGUUUCUAGGGUCAGCACAGCACCCAUAAAUAGGGCAUUGGAGCCAUCCGACUCUGAAGGGGGUUGCUCUACCACCCUGGGUCGCCUUCAACCUGUGGGGAGACAUAUUCACAUAAGCGAAAGAAACAUGACAAGCCUUCGAUUUGUGGCCAACACAGCCACACUUAAAGCAGACCGACGGUAAAUUCUUGUAAGAAACGACUUGGAAUAUUCCCUUCUUGUGACAACACAAUCAAAUCCCAUGCUUGAGGGGUUUAGAUAGAUCCAUUUCAAUGCAAAACCCUGAUAAAAUGCUCUUGCUCAAACGAAAAUGAGCAUUCAUCAACCCGAAGAGGAUGACCCAACAGAAAAGCCAUACGAAAAAUGCAAUUAUGAUUCUAAUAUUCAAUUGGCAAACUCACAAAUCGAACCCAAAUUGGAACCAAGAAAAUAUGUUCUGUGAGAGGCUGGAAGUUUGCACGCUAGGGCAUUAGGUGCAAUACGUCGCCUUUGAUGGUCCAAGGAACCUUGGUCAGCACAUGAGCAACCUUAGCCUCGGAUGAGAAAAGAGACCACCAAAGGAGGCAGUGAACACUUCCAAAUUCGGGAAGAGAAGCCACGAAUCCACGGUUGUCGUCAAGCAAGAAGAGAAGCCUCAUCGAACUCAAUAAAACCAUUUCUUACAAAUUCAAGAAUAAACAGAAGAUGAUAAGAAUGAACCUGAUGAAGUACCAUAAGAUGGGUCGGCCAAUAGGUUUUCCAAGUCAUCUUGCGACCCGAAGGUCGAGUGGAUGAUGAAGGUUGGGUCGAUGCCUUCUCAGUCCUAGUUGACGUAUGAAGAUGAGGCCGCAAGGGGGCCAGAGAAUUCCCAACACAUGAAGCCGACGGUGGUGAGGAGUCCACCAUG
rnacentral:lncRNA from 1 species